rnacentral:lncRNA from 1 species
AAAAAUGGAGCCUAUCUGAAAAUCCAUUUGCGUUUCUAAUUAAGUAGCAAAACGAGUCGUCACACUGAUUUCAAUUCCUAUUCACUUUCAUUUUAGCCCAGGAAGGUUAAUCUCCAGCAAAAUUAUCACAAAACAAACAAAACUCAACAAAUCUUUUCACAUCUUCCACCGUAAAACAAUAUGAACAUAAAAAUUUUCUUAAACAAAUGGCUCCAAAAUAAAUACCAAAUGAAGAGGGAGUUGAUUCUUCGUAUGCCAAUGAAAACCGUUCUCAAGGGAUCCUUCACAUGUACAAUAGCUUCUCGAGAUAUCCGACAUCAAACUUUAAUGACCACAUGUGUUAAUAACGAAUCCAUCAACAACCAUGAGCUCUGCACUCGUUAUCGUUGAUGCAGGUGGUUGAUUGAGUGACGACAGAGAGUCUUGGCGGAAGAAGCAAUGGUUGAAGGUGAAGAUGAAGGGAGAAUGCGGUCGGCGUGUGGUGAAAUGGAUUUCACGGUGGAAAGAGAAAGGAGGCACAGAGGUGCGUUUUAGGGAAGAAAACAAUCGAUGGUUCUCGCGGCGGAUUUGACGGCGGUGGAAGGUGGAUGAUGGAAGUUGUGACCUCGCCGGUGUGUUUAUGGAGAAGGGAGGUUGUGCGCAUGGAGGAGGUGGUUUCCGAUGGUGAGGCGUGAAUGCGCGCCGGUGAGGGAAGUACAGUGAGGGGUUGCUAUUCUUUUUCUUUUUUCGUUCCAGUGGAGUGAGUUCUAGUGUGAUAGGAGGGAGAUUGGAGGUAGCCUCGUUAUCUUUUUUUCUUUUUGUUUUUUUCGUCUCUUUUACUGUAGCAAUAGUAGAGAGAGCGUUUUUUCUCUUUCCUUUUUUUUUCUCACAGCCUUUUUAGAGGAAGACUCUAUUAUUGAUAUCCUCCUUUUUUAACGUGGCCCUUGGCUUUUCAAGACGUGGCCAACUGUCUUCUUUUUGAAAUGGCCACCAAAAAUGGGUCUCUCUUGUCCUUCAUCCAUUUCCCAUUUUACCGUUGGAGAGAACAAAAAUCGGACACGUGGUCCUUGUGUGAGGGAAGAUCAAGAU